rnacentral:rRNA from 1 species
UGCGUAGGUGGCAAGCGUUGUCCGGAUUUACUGGGCGUAAAGAGCGCGCAGGCGGUCGUUCAAGUCGCGUGUGAAAGCCCCCGGCUCAACUGGGGAGGGUCACGCGAUACUGAUCGACUCGAAGGCAGGAGAGGGAAGUGGAAUUCCCGGUGUAGUGGUGAAAUGCGUAGAUAUCGGGAGGAACACCAGUGGCGAAGGCGACUUCCUGGCCUGUUCUUGACGCUGAGGCGCGAAAGCUAGGGGAGCAAACGGG